rnacentral:rRNA from 1 species
AAGGAUGCGGGUCUACCAUGCAGUCGACGAUGAAGCCCAGCUUGCUGGGUGGAUUAGUGGCGAACGGGUGAGUAACACGUGAGCAACCUGCCCCUGACUCUGGGAUAAGCGCUGGAAACGGCGUCUAAUACUGGAUAUGUCCCGUCACCGCAUGGUGUGCGGGUGGAAAGAUUUUUCGGUUGGGGAUGGGCUCGCGGCCUAUCAGCUUGUUGGUGAGGUAAUGGCUCACCAAGGCGUCGACGGGUAGCCGGCCUGAGAGGGUGACCGGCCACACUGGGACUGAGACACGGCCCAGACUCCUACGGGAGGCAGCAGUGGGGAAUAUUGCACAAUGGGCGGAAGCCUGAUGCAGCAACGCCGCGUGAGGGAUGACGGCCUUCGGGUUGUAAACCUCUUUUAGCAGGGAAGAAGCGAAAGUGACGGUACCUGCAGAAAAAGCACCGGCUAACUACGUGCCAGCAGCCGCGGUAAUACGUAGGGUGCAAGCGUUAUCCGGAAUUAUUGGGCGUAAAGAGCUCGUAGGCGGUCUGUCGCGUCUGCUGUGAAAUCCCGAGGCUCAACCUCGGGCUUGCAGUGGGUACGGGCAGACUAGAGUGCGGUAGGGGAGAUUGGAAUUCCUGGUGUAGCGGUGGAAUGCGCAGAUAUCAGGAGGAACACCGAUGGCGAAGGCAGAUCUCUGGGCCGUAACUGACGCUGAGGAGCGAAAGGGUGGGGAGCAAACAGGCUUAGAUACCCUGGUAGUCCACCCCGUAAACGUUGGGAACUAGUUGUGGGGUCCUUUCCACGGAUUCCGUGACGCAGCUAACGCAUUAAGUUCCCCGCCUGGGGAGUACGGCCGCAAGGCUAAAACUCAAAGGAAUUGACGGGGACCCGCACAAGCGGCGGAGCAUGCGGAUUAAUUCGAUGCAACGCGAAGAACCUUACCAAGGCUUGA